AGAAUCAGACUCCAAAUCAAAACACAGCAAAAAUUCAACAAAUUUAAGCUUUGAAAAAGAUAAGAUUAUUUUUUAGUUUGUGAAAGAGAGAAAAAAUGGCUUCUGGAUGCAAAUGUGGUGACAAUUGCUCAUGUGGAGAUAGCUGCAACUGCCAAUCAGGGACCAUCUCAGGGGCCAUGAUUCUCAAGCAAAGUGGAUGCAGCUGUGGGGAUAGCUGCUCAUGUGACCCAUGCAGCUGCAAGUGAGCCAUGAGAAAGAUGGAUAAAACCCCUAAACACAACAAAAGCUUCUUCAUCCAAUAAAUUGAUGAAUACGAUCAAUCUACAAACUUUGUUUCUUUUUUCUUCUUUAUCCUUCCUUGUUUGAUGAAAAUGAAAUAUUGUAAAUUGGCUUUGAAACUCCAAGUUCAUAUGGAUUUGGGUUUUCUAUGGCUUCUUGAAAUUUAGUGUGAACUAUGUACUAUAGCUUUGUUGUGUGUUGGGGGAACUUAGGGUUGAUAAUAUUCAUCAAAAGUUUUAAAUUUGUGUUUGAAUUUGUGUUUAAUAUGGAUAUUUGGUUUUGAGUAUACUCUUCGUAUUUAUAA